rnacentral:rRNA from 1 species
UACGAAGGGGGCUAGCGUUGCUCGGAAUUACUGGGCGUAAAGGGCGCGUAGGCGGACAGUUUAGUCAGAGGUGAAAGCCCAGGGCUCAACCUUGGAACUGCCUUUGAUACUGGCGAUCUCGAGUCCGGGAGAGGUGAGUGGAACUGCGAGUGUAGAGGUGAAAUUCGUUAGAUAUUCGCAAGAACACCAGUGGCGAAGGCGGCUCACUGGCCCGGUACUGACGCUGAGGUGCGAAAGCGUGGGGAGCAAACAGG